rnacentral:lncRNA from 1 species
AAGGGGAGAGAGAGAGAGAGGUUUACAGAGAGGUGGCCAUCGGAUUCGAAGUGGAAGCGGCGAGAGACGGAAUCUGAGGUUUCGUACCAGUAAAGAGGUAAGCUUUCUGGAUUCUUCACCGUCACCGGCGGCUCUUCCUUCUUUAUCAUUUUCACCUUCUCCUGUUUUCGAUUUCACCAAAGAAUUAAGAGAAUUGCACAUGAAGCUGUAAAACAAAAUGGAGAAAUUUGAAAUCUGACCAGAAACUGCAUCUUUGAGAAGGGGCAGUGGAGUCGCCGGAGCUCGAGUGAACCGCCGUUGGAGCUUGUAAACACACAAUUGAAAGAGAUGGGAUAGCAAUAACCAACAAAACGACGUCGUU